CCUACUUCAGACUUGAAAACUCAGCUGGGCAACUCAGUUGAGCUCUUCUCAUCUUAUAAGCUAUGGCCAACAAUUCUCUACUGUUUUUAAUUCUUGCCUCUUUAUUAUUAUCUGGGUUCUUCACCAAGACAAGCAGUGCCUUCUCAAUUGCAGAAGCAACUAUAGAUGAUCUUCAACUAGCUUUUAAGCAAAACCAACUAACCUCUAGACAACUCGUUGAGUUCUACCUCAAACGGAUCCGCAGACUCAAUCCGCUUCUUAGAGGGGUCAUAGAGGUGAACCCUAAUGCACUCUUUCUAGCCGAUAAGGCUGACCGAGAGCGCAGGGUCAACACCCCAGGGUCAACUGGUGGUUUGCACGGGAUUCCUAUCCUGCUCAAGGACAAUAUUGCAACCAAAGACAAACUGAACACUACAGCUGGUUCUUAUGCACUACUUGGAUCAGUUGUCCCUCGUGAUGCAGGGGUAGUGGCGAAGUUAAGGAAAUCUGGUGCUAUAAUUCUUGGAAAGGCCAGUUUGAGUGAGUGGGCUGCUUUCAGAUCACUUAAUGCACCUAAUGGUUUUUGCGGGAGAAGCGGCCAAGGAAAGGUGAGUUGCUUAAUUACUCGCACAAGUCAGUUGUUCAAGCCUUUCUUGAAAUGAUUCAUCACUUAUUCAGGCUUCUAACUGCAUGUCAUGACUCUGCUAUGCUAAACAUUACCGUCAUCUCAUGGACUUUUGGAGUUUUGUCUGAAACUAACAGAUAAUUCUGGGGUUUGAUUGUGAUCAUAAUCAAUCAUUUUGUAAAAUUCAAAAGGUUUUCUAGCUGUUGCUAAGAACAAACAAGCAGGAAGCAGGAUUGGCAUUGCAAUGCUACAUGUUCUGUGACGAUUGUCUUCCGAAUGACUUGUCAAUUGCACUGACGAUAAUUGAUGUGUGUGGCCUUUAUUUGCAGAAUCCAUAUGUUUUGUCCGCGUCUCCUUGUGGGUCAAGCAGCGGGUCAGGAAUAUCAGUGGCAGCGAACUUGGCAGCCGUGUCACUUGGGACCGAGACUGAUGGCUCCAUCCUAUGUCCAUCGAGUUACAACUCAGUUGUGGGCAUCAAACCCACUGUUGAUCUCACUAGUAGAGCUGGGGUUAUCCCCAUCACCCCUAGACAGGACACUGUGGGGUAGGUGAAUUCUUAGCCAAUUGUGAUAAUUUUACUAGCAUCAGCAAUGGAGAUAAUGUGAAUCAGUAUUUGCUGUAAGAUUUAUCUGGUUUCUGGUUGUUACGUGUUGGAUGGAGCAGGCCAAUGUGCAGGACAGUAUCGGACGCUGUGUAUGUUCUUGAUGCCAUUGUAGGCAUUGAUUCAAAUGAUGCUGCAACCAGAGAAGCAGCAAAAUAUAUUCCGAACGGUGGCUACAGACAAUUUCUUAACCCUCUUGGGCUUAAAGGGAAGAGAUUGGGGAUAUUGAGGACUCCAUUUUACAAUUCGACCGGCGACGAUAAAGGAUCCCGUCGGCAUCAAACUUUUGAGCACCAUUUUCAAACACUAAGGUAACAAAAACUAAAGUGUUUUUCUGGUGUCAUUUUCGUUUUUUUUUAUAAAAAAUUGAAAAUAAAAUAUAAAAACUUGCUCGUUUUUGUUUUUUGUUUUCAAUAAAUAAAAAAUGACAAGAAGUUUUCAAAUAUAAAAAAAUUUGGUUCUCAAAAGUUGUUUUCACACUAUUAAUCUACAAUAUAUAACUUGAGUGGUUUACAAGCAGCAGAGACCAUGUGCGACACUUUAUAAUUAAAAAAGUAUGAUAAUUUUUGUUUUUUAAAAUAUUUUUUUAUUUAAAAAUACAAUAAAAUAAUUUUAAAUUAAAAAAUUAAAAAUUUACUCAAUUUCUAUUUGAAACUCAAGGACUAAAUCCAUGACACUUGGAGGUUGGGUUAUGACUUAUGACCCGACUCCAAGGCGACCAAGGGUUGAGUUGAUAGCAUUGGAUAACCAGGAUUGAGCCGGGAUCUAACUCAGACUGUUUAGAAAGGUUGGCUUGGGACCGGCCUAAGAUGAUAGGGGUCAAUUCGAGACCGGGUCUGGAUUUAUUGCAUUGGAUAACAUGGGUAUUAACUCCAAUUGAGAUUAAGUGUAUUUUUUAAAUUAAAAGAGAAAAGUUAAUUAAAAAAAUUGCAAAACAAAACAAGUUUUCUGUUUUUAGGAAACUGUAAACAAAAAUAAGAAAUUUGAGAAUAAAAACAGAAAACGAAAAUGAUAUCAAACGAUCUCUAGAUUUUUCUAGUAAUAGUUUCUAUAAUAUCAUGGCAAAUUAGUGCAAGCUGACUAGACAUUCUUUAUAUUUUCCAAAAUUAAGACGACAAGGUGCGGUUCUCGUAGACAAUUUGCAAAUAAUCGACGUUGACACGUUCACAGCCGGGAAGAACGGAGAAUUACUUGCAAUGUUGCUCGAAUUCAAGCCAGCCUUGAAUGAGUAUCUAGAACAGUUGGUGGCGUCUCCAGUCCGAUCCUUAGCAGCUGUGAUAGCCUUCAACAAAAAAUUCUCCAGACUGGUUAGUACAUGCGCGUCUAUAAUCGCCAUACUGAACCAACACGGGUGCAAUCCACAUUCUGAUUUAUUUGUUUGGUCUUGCAGGAAAAGACCAAGGAAUACGGUCAAGAGCUCUUCGAGAAAGCCGAGUUCCUGAGUCGAAACAUAACAAACAUUGAUGCUAUAUUGAAGAAACUGGUGUCAACAUUCAGCAAACUCUCGAAGAAUGGCCUCGAGAAAUUAAUCAAGAAGAACAAACUGGAUGCACUGGUGGCACCUGGAUUUAGUGGUGUAUUAUCAUUUGUUCUUGCAAUUGGACAAUACCCUGGAAUCAGUGUCCCUGCCGGGUAUGACAGUGACGGUGUGCCCUUUGGCAUUAGCUUCGGUGGACCAAAGGGUUCGGAGCCAAAACUAAUUGAGAUUGCUUAUGGCUUUGAGACAGCUACCAAGGUUAGGAGCCCCCCUGCAUUCAAGCCUUGAAAGCUUAGCAAAAUCCUAAUCAAGUACUUACCAGUACAAUAAUAAAACUCUUAUUCUGGGCAAGCACCUUAAUUUUCAAGCUCUCAACACUUGCAAGUUAACGUGCUGCUUAGCUUUGUGAAUCUGUGGCAACUUUAUAGAGAACACCCAUCCAACUAGGAGUUUUUAUGGCCGCUUCUCUAUGGUACCAGUUGUUGCUUCAUUGAAUUUGCUUCAUUAAUAGGCUCACGAUUCGACUUUGAUCGUUAUGGGCUAGUACCAAGAUCUAGUCCUAGACAAGCGGACCUGAUUUUAACAGCCGGCACAGUAACCAUGAAAAUGGCUCCUUCUUUAGUGAGAUUAUAUGAACAAAUGCUGGAACAAAAAUAUGUUAUUGCUAUGGGAGCAUGUACAAUUACAGGGGGAAUGUUCAGUACGGAUUCUUAUAGUACUGUUCGGGGAGUCGAUAAGCUAAUUCCUGUAGAUGUCUAUUUGCCGGGCUGCCCUCCUAAACCGGAGGCGAUUAUAGAUGCUAUAACAAAACUUCGUAAAAAAAUAUCUCGAGAGAUUUAUGAAGAUCGAAUUAGGUCUCAACAGGGGAAUCGGUGUUUUACUACCAAUCACAAGUUUCAUAUUGGACGUACUACUAAUACUGGAAAUUAUGAUCAAGGAUUACUCUAUCAACCGCCGUCUACUUCAAAAAUAGCUCCUGAAGCCUUUUUCAAAUACAAAAAGUCAGUAUCGUCCUCUGAAUUAGUAAAUUAGAGGAAGGACUCCUUUGUACAGAAUAACAAAAGGCAAGUCAAUCUUCCUAAAUUUCAUCGGAAAUAGGAAAUACUUAUACAAAUAAAAAUGGGGGAGAGAAAAAAAAUAUGCGGGGUCCUCUGUCUGCUUGGCUGGUCAAACAUGGGCUAGUUCAUAGAUCUUUGGGCUUUGAUUACCAAGGAAUAGAGACUUUACAAAUAAAGCCCGAGGAUUGGCAUUCCAUUGCUGUCAUUCUAUAUGUAUAUGGUUACAACUAUCUGCGUUCCCAAUGUGCCUAUGAUGUAGCACCGGGCGGGCUGUUAGCUAGUAUAUAUCAUCUUACGAGAAUAGAAUAUGGUAUUCUAGAUCAACCUGAAGAAGUAUGUAUAAAAGUAUUUGCUCCUAGGAAGAAUCCUAGAAUUCCAUCUGUUUUCUGGGUUUGGAAAAGUGCGGAUUUUCAAGAAAGAGAAUCUUAUGAUAUGUUGGGAAUCUCUUAUGAUAAUCAUCCACGUCUGAAACGUAUCUUAAUGCCGGAAAGUUGGAUAGGGUGAUUUCUUUCACUUCUGAAUCCCAAACAAUGCCGGAAAGUUAACGUGUUGGGCUGGGUUUCAUUCCCGGCAUGGCCCUUUGAGAUUACUAGAUGGGCUAGCAGAUGGGCCCAUUGUCUUUUGGGGCUUGUUCCAUGACUGUCUGUGAUUGGGUCAUCACGCCCACUAUAUAUUAUCUUAGAUCCACGCUGAAUAAAAAAUUAUGAACUUUGUGGUACGUUCUUAUAAUAUGUAGCAUGGUCAAAGUAUAACAUUUUCUAAAUAAAAUAACUUAUUAAUCUCAAGUCUGAGAAUCACUUACACUACUGUUACGUGAGCCUUUAUAUAGAUAAAAAUGAUCUAUUCGUAUGAAAUUCUCAUUAGUUCAAUAUGCAUCUCUUAUGACAAGCGCCUCCUAUAUAUUAAUUAUAGAUAUCUUUUAUAUCUUAAUUUAUGAGAAUAACCGAUUCUUUUCUUUUAUAUAUAUAUAUAUAUGCUUUACAUAAAUAUAUUGCGCUAACAUAUUCAUGUUCACAUGGUAACUUGGGAGAUUAUAUGUUUUUUCAGCAACAUAAUUACAGGUAGGACACAUCUAUGUAAAGACUAUUUGAUCUCCUUUAAAUUUUGUUGGUGACUUGUGCAGAAUCGAUAGGAUGAGCCCGAUGGAAGCUUUUGUUGUACGAAGAGCAGUUUCUCAAAUUUCAUUUAUUAUUAUUGUUAUUAAUCUGGAUGAACUGGAACACUUCUGCAUUUUUAUACUGAAGAAAAAAUUCAUAUAAUUGUUUAUAAUUGAAAUAAUUUUGGCUUGAAUCAAUUGAUAAAUUAAAAUUUAUUUUUACUUUAGUUUGGUUCAUAAUAAUUUUAAUUUAGAUAUUUAUUUUAGUCCAGAUUAAAUUGAAAUGCUUCGUUUUAUUUAGCGAGUGUUUAAGAGUACGAUGAUGAUUGUUUUUUAAAAUAUUUUUUGCUUGAAAAUAUAAUAAAAAAAUAUUUAUUUUAUUUUAAAAAAAUAUUUUUAAUAUAAUAUAUUAAAAUGAUUUUAAAAAAAUUUAAAAAUUAAUUGUUUUUUAAAAAAUUAUUUUAAAAAUAUUUUUAAAGUACAAGAAUUUGCUAACUUAAUAGCCACACACCGUUUGAUUUUUCCUCCUCGAUUGGUGCACUUCUUUUUGAAAUCCAAUAUCCAAAAAGCAACAGCACUGUCGGCGACAAUCAUUGCAAUGCAACAAAAAGUUAUGUUCACACUCUGGCGCCGAGUAAGCAUAAUUAUAAUAUUAAAUUAAUAUGAAUUGACCAUCCUCAGCUAUGGCCAUAAAUUAAUAUCUAAUCAAGUACUAUAUUAUUGGCUCAUGAUAAGAUUAGGUAAAUUUUUUUAAUAUAAAAAAUUAAAUAUUGUUAAUAUUUUAUUAAAAAAAAUAAUUGAAUAAGAAUUAAUUUGAUAUAACUUGAUUAAAUUUAUAGGUUAAAAAUAAUACAUGUAAUUCAUAAAAACAUAAUUUGACUAUAAAAAAUUAAGAUAACAUUCUUUUAAUAUUAAUGUAGCAACAUAAUGGAUUGAAUUGGGUCAAUCUAAGUCAACAUGUUAAAUUUAUAACUUGAGUUAUGAGACUUUGAUAACCAUAUAGAAAGAAAAUUAAAAUAAAUUAUGAAGUCUAAUUCUCAAUUGAAUUAAUAUUGAAAGAUAAAAUUAAAAAAAAAUCAAUUAAAAAAGAAUUUACUUAGUCAUGAGACCAAGAUAUUCCCAUAAAAAACAAAAAAAAAGUUUAUAGAACUCAAUUCCUAAAAAUAUAUAGGCUAAUAAAAAAAAUUCAAAAACAAAAACUCAAUUGAAAUAAUUUUGUCUUGAAGCAAUUUAAAAGGAAAAAACCUGAACUAAAAUUAAUAAAUUUAAACUUAUUUUUAGUUUAGCUUGAUUCAUGAACUUUUUUAAAAAAUAAUUUUAAUUUAGAUAUAUAUAUUUUAGUCGGAUCAAAUUGAAAUGUUUCGUUUUAUUUAGAGGGUCUUUGAAAGCGCAAUGAUAAUUGUUUUUUAAAGUUUUUUUUCACUUGAAAAUGCAUCAAAAUAGCAUUUAUUUUAUUAAAAAAAAUAAUUUUGAUAUUAACAUAUUAAAAUUAUCUAAAAACACUAAAAAUAUAAAUUAUUUUAAAAAUAUUUUUAAAGCACAAGAAUAAGUAGUAACUUAAUAGCCACACAACCAUAGUUUUGAAAUCCGGCCCGGUGGGUCGAUCAGGGGCUGAACCGGGUCGGGUUGAAGAAAAAAUGGGAGAAAGAAAAACUCGACGACCUGGUUGACCAUAAACCUGUUGACUUUUAUUGUUUUUUGUUUUUUGUUUUUUUUUUUUACUAAAACAAUGUCGUUUUGAUUUUUAAAAAAAUAAAAUUGCCUGGGCUAAUCCAAUGACCUGCCCAAAAUCCAGUAAUCCAGUUAAAAUCUAAAACUUGGAUCUUAAACCGAGCCGGCUACUAACCGGGUCUAAAACGAUGCACACAACACACAGCGGUGCCGAGGAAGCAUAAUAUUAAAUUAAUAUGAAUUGACCAUCCUAAUCUAUGGUCAUAAAUUAAUAUUUAGUCAAGUACUUAAGUUCGGGUUAUUUUUUUUAAAUAUAAAAAGAUUUAAAUAUUGUUAAUAUUUUUUUUAAAAAAAUAAUUGUAUAAGAAUUGAUUUGAUCUUGAUUAAAUUUGCAGGUCAAAAAACAAUUUACAUAACUCAUAAAAAUAUAAUUUAACUAAAAAAAUUAAGAAGAUAUUUUUUUAAUAUUAAUAUAACAACAUAAUUGAUUGAAUUGGGUCACUAUGAGUUAACAUGUUAAAUUUAUGACCCGAGUUAUGAGAUUUUAAUAACCACAUAGAAAGCAAAUCAAAUAAAUUAUAAAGUCUAAUUCUUGAUCGAACCAAUAUUGAAGAUGAAAUUAAAAAAAAUCAAUUAAAAAAAGGAUUUACUUGGUCGUUAGACCAAGAUAUCCCCAUAAAAAGCAAAUAAAAAUAAAUUUUGAAACUCAAUUCUCAACCGAUCUAGUAUUGAAUAAUAAAAUUGAAAAAAAUCAAUUAAAAAUAAGACAUAAAAAACAACCUGAGUAUACUCAGAUUAACCCUUUAAGUAUUAUUAUCGAGUCAUGAGGUUCAAAUAACAUAAUAGAAAACAAACAAAAUAAAUUAUGAAGUCUAAUUAUCAAUCAAUCUAAUAUUAAAAAGUAAAAUUAAAAAAAUAAAUCAACAAAGUUAUCCUCUUAAACUCAUAAUUUGUAUAAUGAAAAUAUAAUAAAUCAAUAAAAAAAUUUAAUAUUAAAAAAUAAAAUUAAAAAAAAUAAUGGAAUUUUUUUUAAAAAAAUUAAAGUAAUAUUUAAUUAACAAUAAUAUGCGAGGAGAGGAGAGGUACCGUAAACCUUAUCUUUUAGUUUAUAAUUAAUAGUUAAUUAAUUAAUUCUAUCAGUAACCAUAAAUUAAUAUAAAUAUAUAGAAACGUCCUGUAUUGCUGCUUCAGCCUGCAGUAUUUGUCUACUUUUAAGGCAGCACCAUCUCCCAUCUCACCCGUAGCCUACUUCAGACUUGAAAACUCAGCUGGGCAACUCAGUUGAGCAAUUCUCAUCUUAUAAGCUAUGGCCAACAAUUCUCUACUGUUUUUAAUUCUUGCCUCUUUAUUAUUAUCCGGGUUCUUUACCAAGACAAGCAGUGCCUUCUCAAUUGAAGAAGCAACUAUAGAUGAUCUUCAACUAGCUUUUAAGCAAAACCAACUAACCUCUAGACAACUCGUUGAGUUCUACCUCAAACGGAUCCGCAGACUCAAUCCGCUUCUUAGAGGGGUCAUAGAGGUGAACCCUGAUGCACUCUUUCUAGCCGAUAAGGCUGACCGAGAGCGCAGGGUCAACACCCCAGGGUCAACUGGUGGUUUGCACGGGAUUCCUAUCCU
rnacentral:lncRNA from 1 species